rnacentral:lncRNA from 1 species
AUUAUUUUUCUGUUUCUCCAAUUUGCUCUCCCUGUGAAAAUCUUCUGGUGUGCAUGCCCUCUCGCCAUGACAGACAAACACAUUUGCCUACGGUUAGCAUUGAUUUUAUCUGCUUUCUUAAGCUCCAGUUAUGCUAAGCAGAAAUUCCGUCUUUUAAUUCCAAAUCUAGGAUAUGUUAAUGUACCUCCUGAAGAAAAUCAGCAAGUCUCCUAGGAGAUGGUAAACAUCAUUUUGGUACUUGUAGUGUUUACCAUUUUUGAUAGUUUUUAGUUGUCAAUCUGACUUUGAAGAGGAUUAUGGUUCUACAGAAACAAAGUAAUUCAACAAGGAAGCCUCUGAAUAAAGCUUACUGAAGAAGAGUUCAUUGCCUUGUAUUAGUUUUCGAUAUUUCUGAAAAAAUUGCUUCAGACAUGGCCUCAUUUGUUUUGUCUCUUGUUAUUUUAUUGUCAUACCAUUCUUGCAUUUCUGAUUCAGUCAAUCUCCACUUUAACCUUGGCCACAUUUCCUCUAGAUUUCGAGUAAGUCACUUGAUCUGGAGCCACAGCCCUCCCAAUAUGACCAAUUAAUCUUGACACAAUUUGCCAAUCGAAAAGGUGCCAUGAUAGUUGAUGUAUCAAAAUCCCAACAGGAACAAUAGAUGUUUCUUCCGCUGGUUUAAAGUCUGGAGUCCAAUGUCAACAUAUAAAACAUGGUUAUAAUCUACAUCAUUAGCAAAAUCCAAGUAAACAUGGUUCAGAUCGAAAUAAGCUAUUUUAUCCAGACGUGAAAAUUGAAAUUUAAGUUUUUCGAAUUUCUUCCAUGGUCGGCUUACCUCAAUAGAAUUUUCCUUUUGUUGUUCAUGGACUCGUUAUUGGUUUUUCAUUGGGGAUUUUGGUUUCUAGCUGUUUGCUGCACUGGUUGACUGAAAUUAGCCUUUUUAUUGUCUUGGUAUUUGUCAAACUUUUGGUGGUGGAGGAAUAUUGUUGUUUCUCUGUGGCAUUGAAUUGGGAUUAUUGGAGUUGGGGUGGGGAUUGGUGGGGUUAUCGGUGGAUCUGCACUUUUCAUUGUUCAUUUGGUGGGUGUUUGCUGGUGGUACAACGGAUAUACUAGCCGUUAUUGGACUGGUUAUGUCGGAGAACUGGUGGUUAAAGGGUUGCAGGUUAUUGUUUGUGGAAUCGGGUGGUGAAUUAAAAACAACCUCUCUACCCCACAAAGACGAUAAUAAGACUUAUGUACAUCCUUACCUGAUCCCACCCGUGAAAUUAGAGAGUAAAGUUCCU